GACGAACCGUACAAACGUUAUUCGGAAUCACUGGGCUUAAAGGGUGCGUAGGCGGUCUGUUAAGUUGGGUGUGAAAGCCCUCGGCUCAACCGAGGAACAGCGCCCAAAACUGGCGGACUUGAGUGAGGCAGAGGUGAGCGGAACUUAGGGUGGAGCGGUGAAAUGCGUUGAUAUCCUAAGGAACACCAGGGGCGUAAGCGGCUCACUGGGCCUUGUCUGACGCUGAGGCACGAAAGCCAGGGGAGCGAACGGG
rnacentral:rRNA from 1 species